rnacentral:rRNA from 1 species
ACUCCUACGGGUGGCUGCAGUGGGGAAUAUUGGACAAUGGGGGCAACCCUGAUCCAGCAAUGCCGCGUGUGUGAAGAAGGCCUUAGGGUUGUAAAGCACUUUCGUUAGUGAAGAAAGGUUUAUGGCUAAUACCUAUGAAUUUGACAUUAGCUAAAGAAGAAGCACCGGCUAACUCCGUGCCAGCAGCCGCGGUAAUACGGAGGGUGCAAGCGUUAUUCGGAAUGACUGGGCGUAAAGCGCACGCAGGCGGUUACUUAAGUCAGAUGUGAAAGCCCCGGGCUUAACCUGGGAAUUGCAUUUGAAACUGGGUAACUAGAGUAUGUCAGAGGAAGGCGGAAUUUCCAGUGUAGCAGUGAAAUGCGUAGAGAUUGGAAGGAACACCGAUGGCGAAGGCAGCCUUCUGGGGCAAUACUGACGCUCAUGUGCGAAAGCGUGGGUAGCAAACAGGAUUAGAUACCCUGGUAGUCCACGCCCUAAACGAUGUCAACUAGGUGUUGGGCACUUAAGUGCUCGGUACCGCAGCUAACGCAUUAAGUUGACCGCCUGGGGAGUACGGCCGCAAGGUUGAAACUCAAAGAAAUUGACGGGGACCCGCACAAGCGGUGGAGCAUGUGGUUUAAUUCGAUGCAACGCGAAGAACCUUACCAGGCCUUGACAUCCAGAGAACUAAGCAGAGAUGCUAUGGUGCCUUCGGGAACUCUGAGACAGGUGAUGCAUGGAUGUCGUCAGCUCGUG